rnacentral:lncRNA from 1 species
GUGCGUGAACCUCCACACUGAUUACAGCUUGGAAGCUGGCUUCUCUCAGGGGUUAAUGAAAAACCUGCAGAGCUGGGUUUCUGGACCCAAUAGGUCACGCUGCAUGGGACCAUCCACACUUGAUAUUUUCCUUCUUGGGUAAAACUCAUCCUCAGCUUACCUCUGCCUGCAGGCUGCUUAGAUGGCAGUUCAGUGGAUUUACACUGAAAUGUUCUUUUCUUCUCAGGUAAUUAGGUCCAGAGGAAAAUGUGAUCGCCUGCCAGCCUGCCCAGACAGUGGGAGAGGCCUGAGAAGCUACAUAUCUCCGCCAUGCCUACCCCAAACCUCUACUAGCUUUCAGCCAUGGGGGUGUGCUCUGCAAUCCUAUAGCACAUGCUGGAAUGCUGUUUGAAUACAAGCUGCUAUAGGUAAUAAAGUUUAUCAGAAUGGCUUGUCAUUAUUUUUGCAUCAUUAUACAAUUACUGCAGCUUUGGAAGGUAAUAAAUCACUGCACAGGUGACAAAUUGAGAAGCUAAGAAGGACAGUUUUUCUCACAGAUAAAGCAACUGCUGCCACUAACGAGAUGUGGUGAUUUGGUGAUCAACCUUUUAAAAAGCAUCCUGUGAUCCUGAGAGGGUCAGUAGGAAGGCCAUCCACAUCCAAAAGCAUGCCAGGCCAUUGCCAAGACCACAGAGGAGCGUGAAACUCCAACAGCUCCGAAAAUGAGUGUCCCAGUUUUACUCCUUGAUUGCCAAGAGGGAGCCUUAUACCAAUAACCGAAUUCCAGAUAGUCCAAACUUCAUUGGCUCAGAAUAAUGGCCCAGACAGCCCAUUAUUCACUCAACUCAACUCAGAGAUGUCUCCUGUUUACGUGUGCAUGCGUAUGUGUGUGUGCUUGUGUUUUAAGUAGGCUGAGUGCUAAACUACAUCUGUGCAAUUUUCUAACACACUAAGUUUUCUGUUUUGUUUUGUUUUUUACACUUGGGUAAUAAAAAAAAUAGCACAGCAUAUUUUCUGCAGAAAUGAAAAAUAGAUCUCCAGACUAAAAUCAAGCAGGAGAU